AGUGAACGCUGGCGGUAGGCCUACCACAUGCAAGUCGAACGGCAGCACAGUAAGAGCUUGCUCUUACGGGUGGCGAGUGGCGGACGGGUGAGGAAUACAUCGGAAUCUACUUUUUCGUGGGGGAUAACGUAGGGAAACUUACGCUAAUACCGCAUACGACCUUCGGGUGAAAGCAGGGGAUCUUCGGACCUUGCGCGAUUGAAUGAGCCGAUGUCGGAUUAGCUAGUUGGCGGGGUAACGGCCCACCAAGGCGACGAUCCGUAGCUGGUCUGAGAGGAUGAUCAGCCACACUGGAACAGGGACACGGUCCAGACUCCUACGGGAGGCAGCAGUGGGGAAUAUGGGACAAUGGGCGCAAGCCUGAUCCAGCCAUACCGCGUGGGUGAAGAAGGCCUUCGGGUUGUAAAACCCUUUUGUUGGGAAAGAAAAGCAGCAGGUUAAUACCCCGCUGUUCUGACGGUACCCAAAGAAUAAGCACCGGCUAACUUCGUG
rnacentral:rRNA from 1 species